UACAGAGGGUGCAAGCGUUGUUCGGAAUUAUUGGGCGUAAAGGGCGCGUAGGCGGCUUUUCAAGUGACGGGUGAAAGCCCUCGGCUUAACCGAGGAACUGCCUGUCAGACUGGAAGGCUUGAGACCGGGAGAGGUGAGUGGAAUUCCCAGUGUAGCGGUGAAAUGCGUAGAUAUUGGGAGGAACACCAGUGGCGAAGGCGGCUCACUGGACCGGAACUGACGCUGAGGCGCGAAAGCGUGGGGAGCAAACAGG
rnacentral:rRNA from 1 species